rnacentral:rRNA from 1 species
GAUGAACGCUGGCGGCGUGCCUAAUACAUGCAAGUCGAGCGAACGGACGAGAAGCUUGCUUCUCUGAUGUUAGCGGCGGACGGGUGAGUAACACGUGGAUAACCUACCUAUAAGACUGGGAUAACUUCGGGAAACCGUAGCUAAUACCGGAUAAUAUUUUGAACCGCAUGGUUCAAAAGUGAAAGACGGUCUUGCUGUCACUUAUAGAUGGAUCCGCGCUGCAUUGGCUAGUUGGUAAGGUGACGGCUUACCAAGGCAACGAUGCAUAGCCGACCUGAGGGGGUGAUCGGCCACACUGGAACUGAGACACGGUCCAGACUCCUACGGGAGGCAGCAGUAGGGAAUCUUCCGCAAUGGGCGAAAGCCUGACGGAGCAACGCCGCGUGAGUGAUGGAGGUCUUCGGAUCGUAAAACUCUGUUAUUAGGGAAGAACAUAUGUGUAAGUAACUGUGCACAUCUUGACGGUACCUAAUCAGAAAGCCACGGCUAACUACGUG